UCCCAGUCUGAAGGGGGCAUACAAUCAAG
rnacentral:piRNA from 1 species